rnacentral:rRNA from 1 species
GACGAACGCUGGCGGCGUGCUUAACACAUGCAAGUCGAACGGUGAUGCUCCAGCUUGCUGGCGUGGAUCAGUGGCGAACGGGUGAGUAACACGUGAGCAACCUGCCCCAGACUCUGGAAUAAGCGCUGGAAACGGCGUCUAAUACUGGAUACGAAACUGGCCCGCAUGGGCAUGGUUUGGAAAGUUUUUCGGUUUGGGAUGGGCUCGCGGCCUAUCAGCUUGUUGGUGAGGUAAUGGCUCACCAAGGCGACGACGGGUAGCCGGCAUGAGAGGGCGACCGGCCACACUGGGACUGAGACACGGCCCAGACUCCUACGGGAGGCAGCAGUGGGGAAUAUUGCACAAUGGGCGAAAGCCUGAUGCAGCGACGCCGCGUGAGGGAUGACGGCCUUCGGGUUGUAAACCUCUUUCAGCAGGGAAGAAGCGAAAGUGACGGUACCUGCAGAAGAAGCACCGGCUAACUACGUG